CUGGCCCUUUUCCUCCACCAGACAUUGCUGGCCCUUUUCCUCCUCCCCGCCCCCUCCUCCUGAGCCUCCGGCCCCCUGCGUGUACACACACACCCGCAGGCCCGGCAGAAGUGAUGCUCAACGGGGCCUCCACACAUCCCCAUAGCGCGCUUGGGCGCACCAGGGUGGAGGAAAUAUUGGGGCGACGCGGCUCGGAGUUCACCCUAAAAUGGGCGCCUGGGCAGCCCCUAGAAAGAAACUCAAGCAGGGCGCCGCUCACCCGCCACCCUCUGCAGCUCCCACCGCAGCCAAGAUAAAAAGUUAGCGGGUGAGAGCGGGAGGAGCAGGAAGAAAGUAUAUUUUUUUCUAAAAAAAGGAAGGAAACCCCCCUCCCCCUUCUCCAUAGGGAGGAGGGAAGCGCCCCUACUUCGCAGCUCCGGGCUCUGAGCUCCAGAUCGCAGCCCCUAUCCCGGAGCGAAGCUAAGGCAACUGCAUCUCCUUUCACCGACAAGACUCCGGCUCAGACGGCCAGCUUUGAGGGCAAAGGAGCCGGGAAGACAGCUGGAAUGAGGCAGAUGAUGCUCUUCUGAACCUCCAGUGUGCCCCAGGAUCACUGAGGUCAGCACAGGAUUUGUGGUUGACAUGUAUACAAGGCUCACAGGUAGCCUCUAGGAGGAAGUGGCUAUUCUCUUAGGGCAGCUUUGGCCUCUUAAACUCCACAGGAGCAGGUCCUGAGCUGCUGGAGGAUGAUUUGGUGGCUCAUUUAGCAGCUGUGUGUGAGAAGCCUAGACAGAGGAUGAGGUGACCCUAAAAGGCCAGCUUCCCCCUAACUCUGGCCUCACGAGAGGCAAGGAGGCCAGGGUUAGAGGCCAGCUUGCGCGUGUGGUUUGAGGCAACCUUGCUUGUCAUGAUCCCAGAUCCCCCAGCGUGCACUGUGGUGCUUGGGGCUCCCUCUUCCCAUUAAAGAUCUGCUCAGUGCCUCAAAGGCAGUUACAACGUGGGGCAUCUGUUUCCUCCCACAGUCCUCUGGUGUAGCUCAAGCUGCCAACAUCGAUGAGCCUGAGCUUUGGUCAGGCACCUUUGAGAAGUGCUGUCCAUUGUGCUGGAUUUGAGUCAUAGCCCUGGGUAUGUGGGUAUGUGGCUGUGGCAGAGGCAGCGGCAAUGGAAGUCCCAGGAGGGAAAAGAGCCUGGGUGACAUUAGAGACCACCUGGGAGCUGUCAUGGUUCCCUGGGCUCCUAUUUGUGAAUAAGGAACCCCUGAGGGCUGGAUGUGUUGUGCUGCUCGAGGCUGGAGUAGAGGCUGGGGCCAGUCCUGGAGCUGGAGCUGCCAGGGCUUUGAAAUGGAGGCCACUAGGUUAGGUGGCUGCUCCAUGCUGCUGCCUGUGCCUAUCAAUGGCCCCCGGUGUGGGUGGCUUGCUAGAGGCAGAGUUAAUGCGAUGUUUCCCUUGUGUGGCCUGGUUUAAUGGUUCCCUUGUAUGGCUGGGGUUCGGUGUGGGCAGGGUGGAGGCUGUGGCUGUGCUGCCACUGGGCAAGUCACAAUAGCCUGUGCAGAGGGGAAGGAGUUCCCACUGGAGCCAGUGGGAGGCCCCAGGAGGAGAGGCUCAGGGUGCGGGUGUGGUAUCCAUAGGGGUGACCCCGUCAUCAGGCCCGGAUGUACCCGUAGGGGUGACCCCUAACUGGGGAGCAGAGCCUUGGGCUUAGGAGGACGAGAGCAGGGCCCCAGGAGGUGCUGUGAGAGAUGUGGCACCGGCUGCUGUGCUCUUAGCGGCCCUUGGAUUCAAAGGGCCCGGGUCCUCCCCAUUCUCAGUGGGCCCCUGGGUGAGUUUCCUCUUUUCCUUCCUGUGAGGAAAGCGCUCCCCUACUGAAGGCCCAGGCAAAGCAGGAGGAGCAGUCCCUGGGGUGGUCUUGCUGACCUUGGCCUGCGACUUCCCCAUCAGAAUAUUGUUCGUGAGCCUCCAUGAGGCCUCCUUCUCCCGAGCUAUGUCUUCAGGGGUUACCUCAUGGCAUAGUUUGAGAGAUGGUGGCAGGGGCAGAGGGACCCCUUGCCUAGGCCUCAGAAGGGGAGUCUUGCGUUUACCUCGCCCAGAACCCUCCACUGUGGCCACGCGAUUCCUCCUUG
ensembl:lncRNA